UGGGGAAUAUUGCACAAUGGGGGAAACCCUUAUGCAGCGACGCCGCGUGAACGAAGAAGGUAUUCGUAUCGUAAAGUUCUGUCCUAUGGGAAGAUAAUGACAGUACCAUAGAAGAAAGCUCCGGCUAAAUACGUGCCAGCAUCCGCGGUAAUACGUAUGGAGCGAGCGUUGUCCGGAAUUAUUGGGCGUAAAGGGUACGCAGGCGGUUUAAUAAGUCGAAUGUUAAAGAUCGGGGCUCAACCCCGUAAAGCAUUGGAAACUGAUAAACUUGAGUAGUGGAGAGGAAAGUGGAAUUCCUAGUGUAGUGGUGAAAUACGUAGAUAUUAGGAGGAAUACCAGUAGCGAAGGCGACUUUCUGGACACAAACUGACGCUGAGGUACGAAAGCGGGGGGAGCAAACAGG
rnacentral:rRNA from 1 species